GCAGCCAUGAAGGCCAGCCGGCGACGAGAUUGAAGGCGCCAGGUGAAUUCAUGCUGAUAUCGCUGGCGACAGUGUUCAAACAAGCUUAGUCCAGAGGUUAGGCGAGAGCUCUUCACUGAGCCUGAGCUGAGAGCGCUGGCAUCUUUUGAUGGCCAACUUCUUCUGAACCACUGACUGGUCAGCUAACCAAAGUCUACUCAAUGAAUACCCCGGGAGCACAGAGGCA